rnacentral:rRNA from 1 species
GAUGAACGCUGGCGGCGUGCCUAAUACAUGCAAGUCGAGCGAAUGGAUUAAGAGCUUGCUCUUAUGAAGUUAGCGGCGGACGGGUGAGUAACACGUGGGUAACCUGCCCAUAAGACUGGGAUAACUCCGGGAAACCGGGGCUAAUACCGGAUAACAUUUUGAACCGCAUGGUGCGAAAUUGAAAGGCGGCUUCGGCUGUCACUUAGGGAUGGACCCGCGUCGCAUUAGCUAGUUGGUGGGGUAACGGCUCACCAAGGCAACGAUGCGUAGCCGACCUGAGAGGGUGAUCGGCCACACUGGGACUGAGACACGGCCCAGACUCCUACGGGAGGCAGCAGUAGGGAAUCUUCCGCAAUGGACGAAAGUCUGACGGAGCAACGCCGCGUGAGUGAUGAAGGCUUUCGGGUCGUAAAACUCCGUUGUUAGGGAAGAACAAGUGCUAGUUGAAUAAGCUGGCACCUUGACGGUACCUAACCAGAAAGCCACGGCUAACUACGUGCCAGCCGCCGCCGUAA